UUCCUCCCGUUUCGACCCACCUAUCGUCCCACUCGAUUUUCUUUCCCCCCUACCGGUUUUCUCCCUCACGGUUUUCUCCCUCCUCUGGCUUGCAUCUCAUGCCGGCGUCCAGCGCCACCGAUGCCGAUCUCCAGCCUUCGUCCGGCCAUGGAUCCCGAUGUGGAGCUCCACUGCGGCCCGAUCUGACGUGGGAGCGGCCAGAUCCGUGCGUCUCCGCCUCGCUCCGCGCGCCUCCAUGGUCCGCCGUCUUCUCGAGCGCCGGUGCCGCGCUCAGCCGCCGCCGUCCCAUGCCAUGGUUGCCUCCCUCCAGAACGACCUGCCAUGGCCGCCUCCCUGCCUCUCCCGCAAGUGGGCCUCUGCACGACCAGAUCCGUUCCUCUGCGCCUCGCUCCGCGCGCCAUGAUGGUCCUCCAUCUUCCCGAGCGCCGGCGCCGCGCGCAGCCGCCGCCGUCCCAUGCCAUGGUCGCCUUCCUCCAGAACGCCGUGCCAUGGCCGCCUCCCUGCCUCUCCCGCAAGUGGGCCUCUGCGCCCCCGGCCUAGCAGAUUAAUGGAGGGCGCUGCCGACGUCGGGACAUGCCUCGGUUCACCUGCUUCCUGAUGUCCAAUUAUUUUUGUUGUUGCUAUAUUCAACCUCAUCUCUGAAAGCCUACACCUUCCUGUGUUGUUGCUAUAUUCACGAGUUUGACAGGAGAACGGACUGGAGGCAUACAGUAGGCAGAACAGUGGAACAAAACUCAGCUUCAAUUAAUCGACAUGGUGUUCGCAAAUGGAAAGUCGUUCCUGCUGGUACAGUUCAUUGGUUCAAGUCCGACACUGAGCUCACAAUGGACGUUGAGUUGGUGGACACAAUGGACAAUAAGCCCAUGAAGCUCCAGAAGUCCAGAUUUGGAUACGUCUUGGAUGUGACUAAUUGCAUGACAUGCCGAUAUCUGGCGAGCCUGGUGUGUUCUGUUUUCUCACACCCGCCGCCCAUCGCACAAGGUGAUUGUUGGACGUGAGCGAGCUUCAGGAGCACUUCCUACAGACAGAAUCCUACCUUUUUUCCAGCUGGUGCACUGAGGGAGGCGUUUGAUGUAGCAACUGAAUGAAGAGCUCAAGGGAGCAAAAGGAACAAGGAGAAAGGAGCGCUCAAGAGAAGUAAACUCAAAGUCCAAGAUGCAAUCUUCACAUAGCUCACAAAUAUUAACCAGUAAACACUACUUGAUUCGUGAUGGCAUUGGACCAGACACACAACAUCCAGUUCUAUAAUAAGUAUAUUCGUGAUUGCAUUGGACCAGACACACGGAGAUGCUCGCUUGUCGUCGAGGAGUGUAGCUUGUAAUCGAAGUUGGCGCUACAAAGCUUGUUCUCAAAACCGACAACCAACUUAUGGCGCAGGUUAUUAACUCAGAUGUUAUCGACCGAUCCAGGUUUGGUCCUCUUGUCCAGGAGAUAAAGAAGAUGCUGUGAGGCAUCGACGAGUUCUGAGUGGCUUGGGCCAGGAGAAUAGCAAACAAAGCUGCUCAGAUCUUAGCUAGGGAGGGUUGCCUUUUAAAUUUAUGCAAAACUUGGUUUAGUGUUUCUCCAGAUUGUAUUCAAGAUGUUGUACUGGCGGAUAAUGCCAUGAACUAAAUAAUAACAAGGCAUCAAUUUCCUCUAAAAAA